GGUUUUUAAUAAAAAGAAUUGAACCUCUUAAAUAAAACUUAAAGGACGCGGUAACCUUGACCGUGAUAAUGUAGCAUAAUCACUCGCCAUUUAAUUGAUGGAUAGUAUGAAUGGUUGAACGAAUAUUCCACUGUCUUAAAAAGAAUCAAAUAAAAUUAAAAUAAUAGUCAAGAUGCUAUUUAAAAUUGUAAGACGAAAAGACCCUAUAGAGCUUAACUAUAAUCUUUCUUACUUGUAUCAAAACAGUACUUUUUAAAUAAGAAAGAUUGGUAGUUUAGUUGGGGCGACUACCUUCUAAAAACAACGAAGGCAAGCAAAGUUAAUAUAAAACUUAUUAUAUAAAAAAAACUUUUAAUAAUUACGAAAGUAGGCUAUAAUGACCCGUUAAUAUCUAAUAAAAGAGUUAACGAUCAAUUAAUAAAAGCUACCUUAGGGAUAACAGGAUAAUUUCAUUUUAGAGUUCCCAUCGAAAAUGAAGUUUGUCACCUCUAUGUUGAAUUAA
rnacentral:rRNA from 1 species